GGGCGGAAACGAGUGACAGAGAGGAGGGUUGUGUUUGUGUAGGUAAACAAUGCGGUUGUUUCUUAGUUAAACGUGAGUUUUUUUUUGUUAUUUUCUUAUAACUAGAGACACACAUCAGUAGUUUUGCCGUGAGCUUUUGCAAAUGAAGACUAUAAUUGUUGGAGUUGGUGGGGUAACCAAUGGAGGAAAAUCUACCCUCUCCCAAUUUCUUCACCAGAAAAUACACAACAGCUGCAUCAUUGCUCAGGAUACUUAUUUCAAAGAUGACUUUGUUGUACCAGUGGACAGUAACGGCUUCAAGCAAUAUGACACGCUUGAUGCUCUUCACAUGGAGGAGAUGAUGAAGGAGGUUUGCUCCUGGAAAAAAGACCCUCAUGAGUUCCUGAGGCAGCGGGGCCUGAUAGCCAAAGAUUCAUCCACCGAUGACGAACUUUACGUUCUGAUAGUGGAAGGUUUCCUCAUUUUCAACCACAGGCCUUUAAAUGAGAUGUUUGACAUGAGAUAUUUUUUGGAAAUACCUUAUGACGUCUGCAAGAUGAGACGAAGCAUGAGGGUGUAUGCGCCUCCAGACCCUCCAAACUACUUUGAUGGAUACGUGUGGCCAAUGUACCUUCAAAACCGCGAGGAGAUGGAGAGAAUCACUUCAGAAAUUGGUGCUGCAUGCUUAUGCUGUUUUUGCAGUUUUUCUGGAUGGUCUGAAGCCAAAGGACGAGGUUUUAGCUGCUGUUUAUGAAGACAUUCAUAAAGAAAUAGCCAGACUCCAGGGGGGAAGAUCCGUCCUUAUAUAGCAGCAGCUGGGGAUCAAGGUGAAGAUGAUCAGGUGUGAGUGGUCAAAGCUCAGCAGCCGCUGUGACAGAUUCCUGUGAUGGACAAAGCUGAUGUGAUCGACAUUUAUCUGGAUGGCAGACAGUGUCUUCUAAUGGAGUGAUGUGAGACUGAAAGUACCAACCGUUUUACUGGUGCUGUUUCAAAGACUUUUGGUUACUGUUGAUUUUGAUCUCCUUCAAAUAGGUUUGUUUCAACACUUUAUGCAGAUGCUUCAUCCCCCAGACUUAAGGGUUUCCCACCUUACAAUUUCAUUAUUGCAAAAGAAAAAGUGAUGUUCACUAAAAAUGUUACUGCUUUCAGUAAGGUGGAUUAUAAUUUCUUUAAAAAACAAAAACUCUUUAAAAGGUGCUUAUGAGAAGAAACUGAUCAAAGAUUGUCUGUUGUUAUUCUUCUGUUGCCUGAAGCUGACAUUUCCACCAUCAGUUAGUGGAUUUUACAAAAACAUUAACUUUGUUUCACACUUGAUCCUUGUUUUUUUACUGACAUGAUCCCAAAAAAGUUCAACAUAUAUCAAGAAAUAGUAUUGCAGCUCUAUAAUAUCAGCUUGUAAUCCUUUUAUUUUGCUAUCAUCCGUGAGAUUGGUUUAAUCUUUGACUAUUGAAUCAAUAAAACUCACCAGUCUUGAAUUUAUGAGCCUAUAAAUCAUUAAAGAUUCACCCAGCUUUAUUCUAAGACUUAGAUUACAUUCCCUUGGAUGUUUUUGAAAGCAAAAUAAAUUUUAAAUGUUUCCUCUGACCUCUUUAAAGGCCUUUACUAAAUCUGAUCUGGGGUCAGAAAAAAAAAAGCUACAGUUGCCAUGGAGACCAAAAUGCUGUCAACUAAAUCAGUCAACUUUAUGCAGUGAGUGAACCAGUCCCUCUCAGAUUGUUAGUGUAUUGCUUCUCUUAGAACCCAAAUAAAACAAAAAUGUUGACCAAAUUAUAACAGUUACUCUUUUUGAUAUAAGAAGUAUCUAAUUAAAGCUUUUAAUUAUUUGGUGGUUCAUAUUCUCCAGCAUAAUAUUCGUCUGAUUAUUUUAGAUCAGUUUUAAUUCAUGUUUUUGUUCUGUUGUCAAAGGUUGUUUUUGAAAAAUAAAUUAAUGUCUACAGUAAA